UAAAACAAGGAUACUAUAUAUAUAGUCCGGCUAUGGUGCUUGUAAAAGCACCAAGCACUUGGUGCUUGUAAUUUUUUACCGUUAGAUGUACGCCUUUGUUCAUUUUUACAGUAUUCAACCAACCACUCACUCAACCCUAGGGGGCCAUACCAUCAUAACCGCACAUUCCUUAAUCUAAUGGCCGAAAAUCUACAAGCACUAAUAACUUGGUCAUUUAAAAGAAUAGAAGCUAAAUUCUAUAUAUAUAUAUAGAGAGAGAGAGAGAGAGAGAGAGAGAGAGAGAGAGAGAGAGAGAGAGAGAGAGAGAGAGAUAAAGAAAAUGGCUACUGUGCUAUUAGGAGCACAGCAAUCUUUAUGCUCCUAACUUUCUAACCAUCCAUCAAUUUUGAUGGGUGGUUAGGAUUAUUGAGAGAAGAGAAUUGAAGAGAAAUUCAAAGAGAAAUUGAGAUAUUCAAUACAAUUUCUCUUCCCUUUCAAUUUUUCUUCUCUGUCUAAUCCUAACCACCCAUCAAAAUUAAUAGAUGGUUAGAAAUUUAAAAGUACAAAGGCUGCCUAAUAACACAGUAGCCCUGCUCUCUCUCUAUAUAUAUAUAUAAAAGCAAUUGUUCCAAUAAAA
rnacentral:lncRNA from 1 species